rnacentral:lncRNA from 1 species
UUGAUGUUUAUUGAUGUUUUUUAUUCUUAGCAGUGGGUGCAGGCCAAGGCCGGACUGUCUCCUGAACUCGCCGUUUAAUAGAUCCGGAGAUUGUAGGGAUGAGAGAGUGGGCAGAAACGGUUAAGGUAGGGGUGGUUGGGGCAGGGCUGGUUAAGGUAGGGGAGGUUGGGCCAGGGCUGGUUAAGGUAGAGGUGGUUGGGGCAGGGCUGGUUAAGGUAGGGGAGGUUGAGGCAGGAAUUUUUAAGGUAGGGGUGGUUGGGGCAGGGCUGGUUAAGGUAGGGGUGGUUGGCGCAGGGCUGGUUAAGGUAGGGGUGGUUGGCUCAGGGCUGGUUAAGGUAGGGGAGGUUGGGGCAGGGCUGGUUAAGGUAGGGAUGGUUGGGGCAGGGCUGGUUAAGGUAGGGGAGGUUGGGGCAGGGCUGGUUAAGGUAGGGGAGGUUGGGGCAGGGCUGGUUAAGGUAGGGGAGGUUGGGGCAGUUUGUGAAGGCUGGGUGGAAUGGGUUGUGAUUACCGGUAAUGGGAAUGGGGAAAAUAAGAAAUCAAAGUGUGGUGCAGUAGGUGAUAUUAAUGUGAGGGGACUGGACAUGGAGGCUGAUGGUGUUCCCAGAGGAAGGGUGGGGGAGGCACUGGCAGUUCUUGAACUCACAGGCGUCUGGUGUUCUAGGGCGACUGACCCGGAGACAGAGAGCUGCCGAAGCACCUCCCGGGCCUCCCCUUCCCCCAGGCGAUCCUUCUCCAGCUGAAGGCGCUCCCUCUCCACCUGCAGGCGCUCUGUCUCCACCUUCAAGCGCUCUCUAUCCAGCUGGAGCCGGUUCUUCUCCACAUCCAGGUGUGCCUUCUGUGUUUCAUGUGCUUUUUGUAAUAAAUCAUAAAGAGCUUGGUGGAUGUGUUGGGCGGUCUGUGUAACAUGGAUUUGUUGUGUUUGUGUGUCCAGGAUUUGUUGGAACAGAGUGGCUUGGGGGCCCUGUGGUAUCCAGCCAGACGUGAUGGGUUGGGGUGUAGAGCCAGAGUGGAUGGAGUGAGCUGGUGCAGGACAGUAGGUGAUGUGUUGGGGUGUAGAGCCAGAGUGAGAUGGUGCAGGACAGGAGGUGAUGGGUUGGGGUGUAGAGCCAGAGUGGAUGGAGUGAGAUGGUACAGGACAGGCGGUGAUGGGUUGGGGUGUAGAGCCAGAGUGAGCUGGUGCAGGACAGGAGGUGAUGGGUUGGGGUGUAGAGCCAGAGUGAGCUGGUGCAGGACAGGAGGUGAUGGUUUGGGGUGUAGAGCCAGAGUGGAUGGAUUGAGAUGGUGCAGGACGGGAGGUGAUGGGUUGGGGUGUAAAGCCAGAGUGAGAUGGUGCAGGACGGGAGGUGAUGGGUUGGGGUGGCACUGUUGGUGCUGGCCAAGGUGUAGAUGGCGAG